ACGAGGAUAAAAAGACCGAAGACAUUACUGCUCUUGUUGUUUACAUUAACUACGAGAUGCUGAAGGUGCGCAAAGAAAUUUGUAAUGGAAUCUGUAUUAACGGAUCUUCCUCUGCUGCUCGUGGUACAAACAGUAAGUUUGGACCUUGGUGUGGAACAGCACAGGCUGUGAAGGAUUCUUCUGGUGGUGGUGGUGCAUCAUCAUCAACCACCACCAUUGGCGGUGGUGUGGUGGAUCACUAGGCUGAGUCGUUUCAUGCUUUUUUGUUGUUUGUUUGUUAUCUUCCAUGAUCGUGAUCAUACUCAGAGCUAGACAUGUCUUUUGUUUCCGUUAUUCUUAGAUAAAAACUCAAUUGAUAUCGGUUGCUUUUUUUAUGCUUUGAGAAAAAUUGAAGUGAUAUCUCCUGUUUUGUGGCUGUUGAGAGAAAAAAU
rnacentral:lncRNA from 1 species